CCAAUUUCUGUCCACUACA
rnacentral:miRNA from 1 species